AGUGGCGAACGGAUGAGUAACGCGUGAAGAACCUGCCUUUCAGUGGGGGACAACAGUUGGAAACGACUGCUAAUACCGCAUGACACUUUUUGGGGGCACCCCCGAGAAGUCAAAGCUUUAUGUGCUGAAAGAUGGCUUCGCGUCUGAUUAGCUAGAUGGCGGGGUAACGGCCCACCAUGGCGACGAUCAGUAGCCGGUCUGAGAGGAUGAACGGCCACAUUGGGACUGAGAUACGGCCCAGACUCCUACGGGAGGCAGCAGUGGGGAAUAUUGGGCAAUGGGGGAAACCCUGACCCAGCAACGCCGCGUGAAGGAAGAAGGCCUUCGGGUUGUAAACUUCUUUUACCAGGGACGAAGGACGUGACGGUACCUGGAGAAAAAGCAACGGCUAACUACGUGCCAGCAGCCGCGGUAAUACGUAGGUUGCAAGCGUUGUCCGGAUUUACUGGGUGUAAAGGGCGUGUAGGCGGAGAUGCAAGUCGGGAGUGAAAUCCAUGGGCUUAACCCAUGAACUGCUUUCGAAACUGUAUCCCUUGAGUAUCGGAGAGGCAAGCGGAAUUCCUAGUGUAGCGGUGAAAUGCGUAGAUAUUAGGAGGAACACCAGUGGCGAAGGCGGCUUGCUGGACGACAACUGACGCUGAGGCGCGAAAGCGUGGGGAGCAAACAGGAUUAGAUACCCUGGUAGUCCACGCUGUAAACGAUGAAUACUAGGUGU
rnacentral:rRNA from 1 species